ncrna:unclassified sequences RAGATH-15 RNA
AGAGUAGCUCUCUAUUUCUUAGUGAAGGCAAACUAAGGGUGCAUUAUAAAAUGUAUGGUAUUCCGCAUAUUGGCUUUGCGAAGUCGAUAUGGACAGGACAUAGUUAAAUUGCAAAUAACUAUGCAAGUAUUACUAUUUCCCAGAACGUUAUGUAACGUACGGAAGAUAGAUAAUCAGAUUCAAAACAGUUCCACGUAAAUUGUUUGAACUCCUAUAUUAUUAUAUCAGUCGUGGCUGACAAGGAUAGAGUCGCAAAUCUAUUCUUAUUUAUUAUGGGUUGAAAUUCCCUGGGGAA